UACCAGCACCCCGAGUGGUCGGGACGAUUAUUGGGCCUAAAGCAUCCGUAGCCGGUUCUACAAGUCUUCCGUUAAAUCCACCUGCUUAACAGAUGGGCUGCGGAGGAUACUAUGGAGCUAGGAGGCGGGAGAGGCAAGCGGUACUUAGUGGGUAGGGGUAAAAUCCGUUGAUCCAUUGAAGACCACCAGUGGCGAAGGCGGCUUGCCAGGACGCACUCGACGGUGAGGGAUGAAAGCUGGGGGAGCAAACCGGG
rnacentral:rRNA from 1 species